rnacentral:rRNA from 1 species
UGGGGAAUAUUGGACAAUGGGCGCAAGCCUGAUCCAGCCAUGCCGCGUGAGUGAUGAAGGCCCUAGGGUUGUAAAGCUCUUUCAGUGGGGACGAUAAUGACGGUACCCACAGAAGAAGCCCCGGCUAACUUCGUGCCAGCAGCCGCGGUAAUACGAAGGGGGCUAGCGUUGUUCGGAAUUACUGGGCGUAAAGCGCACGUAGGCGGACAUUUAAGUCAGGGGUGAAAUCCCGGGGCUCAACCCCGGAACGGCCUCUGAUACUGGGUGUCUUGAGUCCGGAAGAGGUGAGUGGAAUUGCGAGUGUAGAGGUGAAAUUCGUAGAUAUUCGCAGGAACACCAGUGGCGAAGGCGGCUCACUGGUCCGGUACUGACGCUGAGGUGCGAAAGCGUGGGGAGCAAACA